rnacentral:rRNA from 1 species
AACGAACGCUGGCGGCAUGCCUAACACAUGCAAGUCGAACGAGACCUUCGGGUCUAGUGGCGCACGGGUGCGUAACGCGUGGGAAUCUGCCCUUGGGUUCGGAAUAACUCGCCGAAAGGCGUGCUAAUACCGGAUGAUGACGUAAGUCCAAAGAUUUAUCGCCCAAGGAUGAGCCCGCGUUGGAUUAGCUAGUUGGUGAGGUAAAGGCUCACCAAGGCGACGAUCCAUAGCUGGUCUGAGGGGAUGAUCAGCCACACUGGGACUGAGACACGGCCCAGACUCCUACGGGAGGCAGCAGUGGGGAAUAUUGGACAAUGGGCGAAAGCCUGAUCCAGCAAUGCCGCGUGAGUGAUGAAGGCCUUAGGGUUGUAAAGCUCUUUUACCCGGGAUGAUAAUGACCGUACCGGGAGAAUAAGCUCCGGCUAACUCCGUG